rnacentral:rRNA from 1 species
AAAUUGAAGAGUUUGAUCAUGGCUCAGAUUGAACGCUGGCGGCAGGCCUAACACAUGCAAGUCGAACGGUAACAGGAAUCAGCUUGCUGAUUCGCUGACGAGUGGCGGACGGGUGAGUAA